rnacentral:rRNA from 1 species
UACGGGGGGAGCAAGCGUUGUUCGGAUUUACUGGGCGUAAAGGGCGCGCAGGCGGCUCAUUUUGUCAGGCGUGAAAGCCCCGGGCUUAACCUGGGAACUGCGUUUGAUACGGAUGGGCUAGAGUUCGGGAGAGGAGAGUGGAAUUCCCAGUGUAGAGGUGAAAUUCGUAGAUAUUGGGAAGAACACCGGUGGCGAAGGCGGCUCUCUGGACCGAGACUGACGCUGAGGCGCGAAAGCGUGGGGAGCAAACAGGG